rnacentral:rRNA from 1 species
UACGAAGGUGGCAAGCGUUUACUCGGAUUUACUAGGCGAAAGGGCAGGUAGGUGGUUUGAUAAGUCUGCUGUGUAAGCUCCCGGCUUAACUGGGAGAGGUCAGCGGAUACUGUCAGGCUUGAGUAUGGGAGAGGGUACUGGAAUUCUGGUGUAGCGGUGAAAUGCGCAGAUAUCAGGAGGAACACCGAGUGGGCGAAGGCAGGUCUCCGUGGGCAAUUAACUGAC